UACAGAGGUCUCAAGCGUUGUUCGGAUUCAUUGGGCGUAAAGGGUGCGUAGGCGGCGCGGUAAGUCGGGUGUGAAAUUUCGGAGCUUAACUCCGAAACUGCAUUCGAUACUGCCGUGCUUGAGGACUGGAGAGGAGACUGGAAUUUACGGUGUAGCAGUGAAAUGCGUAGAGAUCGUAAGGAAGACCAGUGGCGAAGGCGGGUCUCUGGACAGUUCCUGGCACUGAGGCACGAAGGCCAGGGGAGCAAACGGG
rnacentral:rRNA from 1 species